AUGGCGAUAAAAGAGGUCUUGUCUAACAUUGACAAAGAAAUACAUCAAUAUGAAGAAGCAUUAAUUGCAAUUACAAUUGAAGAAUCUUUACAACGAAGAAGGAAAUUGAUUUAAAAGACAGGAUGGAGAAAAAAGAGAUUGCAAGCUGGGCACCGAGCGGUUGAUCUCUCCUACUUCAAGACUUUGUGCAAGAUAUGUCUAUACUUGAAACUCAAGAAGGCGGGUCUCUCUCUAUCUCUCCAAGUCUCUCCAUGUAUACACGUAUAGUUUUUUGUAUACCUAUAUGCAUAU
rnacentral:lncRNA from 1 species